CAUAAGCGGAGGAAAAGAAACCAACAGGGAUUGCCUCAGUAACGGCGAGUGAAGCGGCAAAAGCUCAAAUUUGAAAUCUGGCACCUUCGGUGUCCGAGUUGUAAUUUGAAGAAGGUAACUUUGGAGUUGGCUCUUGUCUAUGUUCCUUGGAACAGGACGUCACAGAGGGUGAGAAUCCCGUGCGAUGAGAUGCCCAACUCUAUGUAAAGUGCUUUCGAAGAGUCGAGUUGUUUGGGAAUGCAGCUCUAAGUGGGUGGUAAAUUCCAUCUAAAGCUAAAUAUUGGCGAGAGACCGAUAGCGAACAAGUACAGUGAUGGAAAGAUGAAAAGAACUUUGAAAAGAGAGUGAAAAAGUACGUGAAAUUGUUGAAAGGGAAGGGCUUGAGAUCAGACUUGGUAUUUUGCAAGCCUUACCUUCGUGGUGGGGUCCCCUGCAGUUUACUGGGCCAGCAUCGGUUUGGAUGGUAGGAUAAUGACUUGGGAAUGUGACUUUGCUUCGGUAAAGUGUUAUAGCCCUUGUUGAUACUGCCUGUCUAGACCGAGGACUGCGUCUUUGACUAGGAUGCUGGCAUAAUGAUCUUAAGUCGCCCGUCUUGAAC
rnacentral:rRNA from 1 species